UACGUAGGGGGCAAGCGUUGUCCGGAAUCAUUGGGCGUAAAGCGCGUGUAGGCGGUUCAGUAAGUCUGCUGUGAAAGUCCAGGGCUCAACCCUGGGAUGCCGGUGGAUACUGCUGGACUAGAGUGCGGAAGAGGCGAGUGGAAUUCCCGGUGUAGCGGUGAAAUGCGCAGAUAUCGGGAGGAACACCAAUUGCGAAGGCAGCUCCGCUGGGACGUUACUGACGCUGAGACGCGAAAGCGUGGGGAGCAAACAGG
rnacentral:rRNA from 1 species